AUGGAAGCCAGUGGUGACCAGAGCCAUAUGCUGAAUGCUGAAAGUCUGUGUUCCCAUUUGCUGUCCACCUGGCAAGACACAGCAUGGCCAUCAUGUUCCUUGCUAACUUUCGUGCAGAUUUUGGUGACAGUGUACCUUGGUCCAGCAGAUGUCCUGGGAACACUGAGAUACACGCCUCCCACUCUGGCCCUGAAGAAGCUGUGCAAGAAUAAGACCAUCUAUCGAAUGUCGCCUGUGGCCCAGGCUGGGGACACACAGGGAUGUGCAGUCAGGGACUUCUGA
rnacentral:lncRNA from 1 species